AUCAACAUAAUAGCAACUGGAUGUUAAUUUGUACUCAAAAUAAAUUCUCAGAAUGGAGAUAAGAGAUGGAAAAAGUACCAAGAAUUGCUACAGAUAACUCAGCACUGAACUGCAGCUUCAAGUUGAAAGACAUAAAAACAAGAUGUUUCCAAAAAGCCAGUAUAUUUAUAUUAUAAUUAAUAAUUAUAAUUAAAC